GUGAGUUGGGCAGCUGAUCACGGCAUGUUCCAUUAAAUUGGAGAGAGUUGUAAUGAAUUCUCAUGCUGAGGAAGGUCCGGACAUCAAUAAAAGCGAUCUGAAGAAAUUCAGAUUCUCGUGAGAGAAAGCUCCAGAACAGAAACGACACAGCCCUUUCAGAGUAAUGAACCCUGAGGCGAACUAAGAAGAAAGGGAAAUGAUGAAACGGCUGACUUCGCUGAUGCAAGAGCCCAAGCCGCUCGCUUAGACAGAUAUCAGCGCAAACUGUUCGCUAAACGAAGUUUGACAAAAUCUGGCCUAUGCCCGACUCAC
rnacentral:RNase_P_RNA from 1 species